UUAACUAUUAUAUAGUACUCAGACAGUAUAGACAAACAGAGUUUAGGUCCUCUGGCAAGCGCUCGCCGGCCGGAGCCAGCAGCCCGAGGGCAGGCUUGCCAAAGCAACAAAGGUAAUAUAAACAAAGGGUGGGAGAUCUACCCCAAAGGGCAAUUUCUCUGUAAUGAUCCUUCCGCAGGUUCACCUACGGAAA
rnacentral:misc_RNA from 1 species